UCGCUGCAAAAACAAAGCUUCUAUUCAAUAAGAACAAUACAAAAUAUAAAAUGUUAAGCUGAAUUAGAUGGUUGAUUAGAUAGAUGCUUAUAAUAUAUUUGAUAGUGCUCCACAAACACCUCUGUUACGUCAUGAGCAGUGUUUUAUAGUGCGCGUACCCCGGACUGUUUGUAACUUCUAGCUGGUAGUGGUGGUGCUUCAUCAUUCCCUGGAAGACGCUUCGAUGCACCUGUGACGACAUGAAAACCUGCAAUAUCAUUCUAAGUGCCCAUACCUGACCACACGCAACCAACAACAGGUCGCCCUCUGGAUUCACGGGCGUCUGCAACAAAAAAAGUUAGAUCAAGGCACAAGCUUGAGAGAAGGAAUGUGUACAUUCAAUGUACAUUGAAAAAGGCCGGUAGAGCGAUAAAAACAGUCCACCGCCUGACAGACUACAUCAUCGUCCUUAGCACCAUCAUUCACACAUCUCAUCAACUUUACUGUCGCACCAUGAAUUAUAUGGAAAGUAUUGAUUUAACUAAAUCGUACAAGUGUAUCGUACCUGUAGAAUCUGUUGCUCAAGCUGGGAUGUUCCCUGGGAAAGCUCCACAAGCUGACAGAUAAUGAACUUUGUUGACUCAGUCUUGCCCGCUCCGCUCUCACCACUGCAACGAGAUGUUACACAUGUUACGUAUCAUCUAUGAUAACAUGCUAUUUUCCCCCACCAAAGUGUUAAAUAAUGCAAGAAGAUAUUAUGUGUUCUGUGGACCUGUUGGAUAUCAUACCUUAUGACGCAUCAUUGGUUCUGUGGACCUGUUGGAUAUCAUACCUUAUGACACAGCAUUGGUUCUGUGGACCUGUUGGAUAUUAUACCUUAUGACACAGCAUUGGUUCUGUGGACCUGUGGGAUAUCAUACCUUAUGACACAGUAUUGGUUCUGAGGACCUGUUGGAUAUUAUACCUUAUGACACAGCAUUGGUUCUGUGGGCCCGUUGAGCCUUUGCCGAGCAUCGCCUGGUAUGCAGCGUCCGCCAAUGCAUAGAUGUGAGGCGCAAGACUAGACUUGACCGCCAUCUUGUACUGACUUGACACCUGAAUGACAUAACCAAAGUGAUACACAAGCUUCUUUCUUUUUUUUUCUGUCUCAUAGAGAUGCGGAGGGCGUUGGGGAGGGGGGCUAAAACGUGUUAUCAUAUUGUACUACGGACAUUGUACUGGCAUGGGAUUCAUCCUCUACUUUUUUAUGGUUCUGCUAGAAUUUGUUGUUGGUGAGAUCAUAUAGAAUAACAAUGUAUAUUUAAAGUCA